GACGAACGCUGGCGGCGUGCUUAACACAUGCAAGUCGAACGGAAAGGCCCUGCUUUUGUUGGGUGCUCGAGUGGCGAACGGGUGAGUAACACGUGAGUAACCUGCCCUUGACUUUGGGAUAACUUCAGGAAACUGGGGCUAAUACCGGAUAGGAGCUCCUGCUGCAUGGUGGGGGUUGGAAAGUUUCGGCGGUUGGGGAUGGACUCGCGGCUUAUCAGCUUGUUGGUGGGGUAGUGGCUUACCAAGGCUUUGACGGGUAGCCGGCCUGAGAGGGUGACCGGCCACAUGGGGACUGAGAUAGGGCCCAGACGCCUACGGGAGGCAGCAGUGGGGAAUAUUGCACAAUGGGCGGAAGCCUGAUGCAGCAACGCCGCGUGCGGGAUGACGGCCUUCGGGUUGUAAACCGCUUUCGCCUGUGACGAAGCGUGAGUGACGGUAAUGGGUAAAGAAGCACCGGCUAACUACGUG
rnacentral:rRNA from 1 species